AUGUCGUGGCCAGUGUUGUCAUUCUCGGUGGUGGCGAUGGCGGCGGCAGCGGCAGCGGCGCUCGUAGCAGCGAGCGGAGCAGCGCCGGCGCCCAUAGGGAAACACGGCUGCGAAACGAGGUGCGGUGACGUGAGCGUGCCAUACCCGUUCGGCUUGGGACCGGACAGGUGCUCCGCAGCGGCAGGCUUCAAGCUCACCUGCGUCCACGGCAACACUACCGGUACCAGACCCGGAGCAGCCAGCCGGCCCCGGCUGUUCCUCAGCGACUACAGGGGCUUCGAGAUCAUGGAUAUCUCAGUGGAAAACCGGACGGUUAGCGGGGUCAGCCCCACUAUCUUCAGCAACGCCGCCAUCAACAGCACUAUCAGGAGGUCUAUGGGCUUCGGUGACAACCGCUGGAAGAACACCAGGCCACCGAGCACCUCCUAUCUGGUGGCCACGGGGUGCAACGUGCAGGUCACGCUGCUCUUCACUACUCCUGCCGGCACCCACAGCUACACCUCCGGCUGCACCUCAUACUGUAGCGGCAGUGCUGUGAUCACCGACAACGACGUCCGGAACUACGGCGUUGGCUUCUGCACUACCCCGGUCGUCUCAUACCUCGCGUCCUAUACCGUGGAGCUCAAGCGGCUCGCCGGGAACAGCACCAUUAACAACGAUCUCCCGGUGUACGUGUUCAUCGCCGAGGAAGGUUGGUUUGGUCCGGACCGGGCCGUAGAUCUUAUGAAUCUGGGCGCACGUCGUUCCAGACUCAAGGCCAAGGAUGAACAUCUGUUGGUACCCUUGACCCUCGACUGGGUAUGCAUCCAUGGAUCCUGCAACGCCUCCGUCAACGCCAACUGCACCACACUCGACAACGUGUGCCAAUGCAAUCCUGGCUAUAAGGGUAACCCUUACCUAACGGAUGGAUGCCAAGAUAUCGAUGAGUGCAUGCAGCCAAUGGACCAUGGCUGUUUCGGUGAGUGUCACAAUACGCAGGGAUCGUUCGACUGCUGGUGUUCGCGAGGAGGAAACGCCAGCCAACCAAAUGGCUGCCUCAAGCCCACAAGGAAAACAGGUUUAAUCAUUGGUCUCUCCGUUGCUACUGGCGCAUCCUCCAUUCUUUUCUUUCUGGGUGGAUUGUUAAUAAUUCGCAAGAUUAAGCAUCACAAGGCUGAAAAGUUGAAACAGAAGUUUUUCAAUCAAAAUCAUGGACAGCUAUUGCAACAACUAGUAUCUCAAAGGUCUGACAUUGGCGGAAGGAUGAUCAUCCCUUUAAAGGAAAUAGAGAAGGCCACAAACAAUUUUGAUCAAACGCGUAAACUUGGUGGCGGAGGGCAUGGUACAGUCUACAAAGGAAUAUUGUCAGACUUACAUGUUGUGGCCAUCAAAAGGUCAAAUAUUGUGGUCCAGAGAGAAAUUGAUGAGUUCAUAAAUGAGGUUGCCAUACUAUCACAAAUCAACCAUAAGAAUAUUGUUAAGCUUCAUGGUUGUUGUCUCGAGACAGAAGUCCCACUAUUGGCCUACGAAUUCAUUUCCAAUGGAACCCUUGGUGAUCAUCUUCAUAAUGAAUCACCAAAAUCAAUAUCUUGGAGUGGCAGGCUAAGGAUCGGAAGUGAAGUAGGAAGAGCAAUUGCUUACCUUCAUUCUGCUGUUUUAGUUCCUAUAAUACAUAGGGAUAUCAAAUCUUCUAACAUACUUCUUGAUGAUGCUUUCACGGCAAAAGUAUCAGACUUUGGUGCUUCGAGGUACAUUCCAAUCGAUCAGACAGGUAGAACAGAAACAGCAGUGCAAGGAACUAUAGGAUAUCUUGAUCCUAUGUACUACUACACGGGACGGCUGUCAGAAAAGAGCGAUGUUUAUAGCUUUGGAAUCCUUCUUGUGGAGUUGCUUACGAGGAAGAUGCCAACCAUGUAUAGAACCUCAGCAGGUGAUGGACUUGUGGCACAAUUUGUUGAAAUCCUGGAAGAAGGCAAACUAGUUGACAUACUGGAUUCCCAAGUUGUAGAGGAGGGAGGUAGCGAAGUUGAAGAAGUAGCUGCUCUAGCGGCAUCAUGUAUAAAAUUAAGAGGAGAGGAUAGGCCAACCAUGAGGCAAGUGGAGAUGGCACUCGAAGGCAUUCAGGCAAACAAGCAGCUUGUCCUAACUGAUUUGGGAGCAGAGCGAAAUGAGGAGAACUACUUAACCAGAACCAGUUUGAGCUUGGAGGAAGUGAGCUGA
rnacentral:rRNA from 1 species